rnacentral:rRNA from 1 species
GUGCAGCAGGCGCGAAAACUCCGCAAUGCGCGCAAGCGUGACGGGGGAACCCCAAGUGCCGUUGGUCUUUUGAUCGACGGCUUUUCGGAAGUCCAAUAAGCUUCCGGAAUAAGGGCUGGGUAAGACUGGUGCCAGCCGCCGCGGUAACACCAGCAGCCCAAGUGGUGGCCGCGAUUAUUGGGCCUAAAGCGCUCGUAGCCGGAUCAGCAAGUCCUUUGUGAAAUCGGACCGCCCAACGGUUCGGCGUGCAAAGGAUACUGUUGGUCUUGAGACCGGGAGAGGUCGGAGGUACUCUUGGGGUAGCGGUGAAAUGCUGUAAUCCUGGGGGGACCACCAGUGGCGAAGGCGUCCGACCAGAACGGAUCUGACGGUGAGGGGCGAAGGCUAGGGGAGCGAACGGGAUUAGAUACCCCGGUAGUCC